rnacentral:rRNA from 1 species
AUUGAACGCUGGCGGCAGGCCUAACACAUGCAAGUCGAACGAGUGGCGGACGGGUGAGUAAUGUCUGGGCAACUGCCCGAUGGAGGGGGAUAACUACUGGAAACGGUAGCUAAUACCGCAUACCAUCAGAUGUGCCCAGGUGGGAUUGGCUGGUUGGUGGGGUAAGGGCUCACCAAGGCGACGAUCCCUAGCUGGUCUGAGAGGAUGACCGGCCACAUGGGAACGGAGACACGGUCCAGACUCCUCCGGAGGGCACCAGGGGGGAAUAUUGCACAAUGGGGGAAGGCCUGAUGCAGCCAUGCCGCUGGUAUGAAGAAGGCUUUCGGGUUGUAAAGUCCUUUCAGCGGGGAGGCGUUACCCGCAGAAGAAGCACCGGCUAACUCCGUGCCAGCAGCCGCGGUAAUUC